GCUCCGGUGGCCUAGAUGGUUAGAGUCCGCCUCGGAUGCGGGAGGUUGUGGAUUCGAACCCCAGCCGAAGCA